rnacentral:lncRNA from 1 species
AGAAACAGUUCAGCCCAGAAUGAAGAAUGAGGCCAACUGAGAGAACACAAAAAUGGAUUUCAUGGAGGAUGGUUGCCAUCUCUGAUUGGCCAAUGAUUUCUCCGUCCGAUGAAAACUAACAACCCUCCUUAUCAAAAAUUCCAAAAAAAGAAAAAAAAAAUUAAUACUUCCUUUGUUCCAUUUUUACUAGGUUUUGCAAAAUGUCCACAAAUUGCUGUAGAAAAGAUGGAAAGAGGCAGUGAUGACAUUGCUGUGUGAUGAUUCUGGGCUGAAAUUUGGGGCAUGGAGAAAACCCGACUCGUAUCUUGGCGGGGCAAAACCAGAAUCAUGCAAAACCGGUUCAUUUUUUUUUUUUUUGCAGCCAUGGCGAUUGUUGUCUUCUUCUCCUCUUGCCCCCAUUUUACACAGAUCUGAGCCUCAUUUUCAAAUUCGGAUGGAAACCCAGUUCAUUUAGCUCAAAAGACUGAGGCAAUCGGAGAAAAUGGGGAUUUUUUUUUCAUCUCCGGUAUGUCAAUGAUUUCUUCUUUGCUCUAGUUGACAUUCCCUUAAUCUUUUGAUUUAAUUUCCUAGAUUUUUAAUGUUGGGUAUAAAAUUAUAUGUUUUGGGCAUAUGAGUUCUUUAGAAACUGAAACUAUACAGAAAUAUUAACUUAUGUCUCGCAAAAAAUUGUUUGUUAUGAGUGCAUAAACUAAAACCCAACACAAAAUAGGGCAAAUGUGUGAAUGGUCCAGUAAUGGAAGCUCAGCCCAGUAUGAAGAAUGAGGCCAACAGGGAGAAAAAAGGGAAGUUCUUUGGAGGGUGGUUGCCCUCUCUGAUUGGCCUGUGAUUUCUCUUUUAACCAAACUAACAACCAUCUAUAAAAGUUGGAAAAAGAAACGAUGUUUGUUGUCAUUGUCAUUUGCCUUCAAUGGGGGCAAUGUGAUGCUAAUUGGCAAUUGUACUAUUCAAUUUUCUAUUAUUCUGAGCUACAUUUAGUUGCAUGAUCAUAAGUUCUUUAAGGAUAGCAGGACAAAAGUGCAAAUGACCCUCUGAGCUAAGGUCGGCUUAUGCUUUAAAGCCACUAGAAAGCAGUCCAAUCCAAACAGGCUCUUAUUGGAUUAUUCUUGUUAAGGUUGUUCAAAUGUGCUCUUCUGGAAAAGUUCCCAUGUUUAGGCAGUGAUGAUAUUUGCUAAUCUGGGCUGAUGUUUAUUAUUUGGGGUAUGGGGACAAUCUGACCCGUAUCUUGGCAUGGCAAAUCCAGAUGGUUUGUGAUUGAGUCUUCUCUUUCACAUGCAACUGGUUCUUUUGCAGCCAUGGCGGUUGUUGCCUUCUCUCUGCCCCAAUUUUUUGCAGAUCUGAGCCUCAAUUUCCAACUAGUCCAACUGGAUGUCCCAGGACUCAAAGAGUUUUGAACCUAAAUGAUGAUAAAACCCCAUGUAUGCACACACACAAAAAAAACACUUGAUGAGAAAAUGUCAAAAUGGUCCCUUAUCAGUGCAAUGAUGAUCUUUCAAUCUGUCCUCUUUAGCUAGUAAUUGAGCAUUUAGAGUACCUGGCCAGUAUCUUGGCGGGGCAAUGACCCGGAUGCCUGUGAUUUUGUUGCAUGCAACUUGGAAAUAUUUGCAGCCAUCGUAUGACUGGACUCCGACUUUCUUUACCUGAGCAUAAGAUGGAUCUGAGCCUCAAUUCACUUGUGGGUGUAUUUGGAAUGAAGGAAAAUGUUUUAGUGUUCACUACAAUAAAAGAGACAUUUUGUGGCAAUAGAAUUCCUCUUGCUGGCAAUAUUUAUGGCUGCAAAAACAUUUUGCUGCAAAUUAAGUUAAUGCCAUUGCAUCUUAAGUCGCUAGUGUCUUAAGUGACGUUUAUAUAGAGUGAUGUUUAUAAAUACUCAUAUAGGUUAUUGCCGCCAAAUAUAUUCUAGUAGCGAUUAUAUCAUUGCUGCUAAAUAAUUGCCACAAAAUUCUCUGUUUGUUGUAGUAGAAUCAGCCGUAAAGUGGCUAUCUUGUGUAUAACACCAUACUUAAAUGUGAUCCCAUUGUGGUCUGGAAAGUGGCUACCUUGUGUCAUCUCUACAAAUAAUAAGACCUUCGACAUGAGGCCCAUAAUGAGGCUGUGAUGAUUUUCAUUCUUUACUCAUCAGAUGGUUGAGCUUCAGUAUAUCUUGGCUUGGCAUCUUUUUGGGGGUCUUGCGAGAUAUUGGAGCUAUUUGGGUUUCUACUUCUUACAAAGACUCCUUAAGAUUGCAGCCAUGGUGGGGUUUAGCUUAUGUUUGAGAAAAGGCGAAUCUGAGCCUCCCGAAUCUCUGUUUGUAUAAAACAAUGAGGCUCUUUAUGCUACCCAACUUAUGCUGCAUAACUUAAUCCGUAUGGAACUUAGGCUAAGCGAGACGAAAGGUUCUCCAAACUUAUGCAGAAACAAGAGCUCCUGAUUUUGGGGAAAUCCGUGCUAAAACUUGUUAAUUUAAUGCAUUGAGAAAAUCUGACCUGUAUCUUGGCAGGGCAACCUGGUAUGACAUCAUCGGUAAACUGGCGUUUGCAGCCAUGGCAUUGUUCCUUUCUCUUUGCAUCUUCAUAUACAACAACAUAUGAGCACUAAAGUUGAUGGUAAAUUAUUUCUCAGAUGGUCACUUAACUUAAUGCGGGUACUCAGGAACCUAAAUACCCUAUAGGGUUCAGUCCGAGCAACAUAGAAUCAUUCAAUGAGGCAAUGAAGACAAUCUUUAAGAAUCAGAUAGUUGAACUUUGUUGUAACUUGGUGUGGCAGCUCUAAGGGUCUUUGAGGUAAGAGAACUGUAUUGGUUUUCAUCUCACGAGGCUAUUAAUGCUUUGCUUGCAGCCAUGGCAUAGUAUAGCUUUUUCCUGAGAAAAAGCAAAUCUGAGCCUCCCAAGUAUCUGUUGUGUUUGAGAAUGAGGCUUUUUAUUGAACUCAGGAAUGGUAGAGAUUUUCUAAGGGCGGUUAACUCUUUCUCCUAAGUUCAAUUUUGCCAAUGAAUUUUCCUGUGCUUUUGUAUAAAGUUUACAGCUCUCUCAAUUAGCAGAGCGCUCUUCAUGAUGAUGAUGAUGCUGAUUGAUUGCCAUGAUUAUGGUAAUAAUAAAGGAAAAUACAGUUUUGCCCCUUUAACUUGUGCAAAACCCUGAACUAAACUUUUUGAAUAAGGCUUUGAUGAUAUUUGCCAAGAAGCUCGAAAAUGAGAUUUUAAAACUGAUUCAUAUCUUGUCUAGACAAAGGCAUUUGUGAGGAUGCUUUUUGCAGCCAUGGUGGAUUGGCUCUUUUUUCUGAUUGAUUUUCACUCAAAUCUGAGCCUCUUUCUGUUUAAAGUAUAGUUCUACAAUAUUUAGUCUUUCUUUUUCAUUCAUGGUACGAUCAGUUCAUAUAAGGAAGAGUCCCCUUUGAGAAAGAAGCUUUUAAUGUGUCCAUCUAUACAAUUUCUCCAAAUUGUUAGGUACGUACUGAUAUGAGACAAGGCCAAAGGGAAUGGAAGUGAAUAUUGAGGAUCCGUAUAUUGUUGCUGCAUUUUACUUUUUUGAUCAAGAUUUGUUGCUGCAUUUUUGCACAUUCAAACUUGGAUGUCUUGUUUUAAUCUUGAACGCUCCAAAAUUCAGAGGCAGUGAAGAUUAUUCAUAAUGAAAAUGAAAAGUGAAAAAAAUUAGAGUUGAUUCGUGACCUGGCUUGGCGAGUUCAAUCGGAAGGUCUUAUAAGGCAACUGUUGCUUGAAGCCAGGGCACUGUUCCAACUCUGCUCUUCCUUUUCUUUGAUUAAAUAGGCGAAAAUCUGAGCCUCGUUCUUUGCUUUGUGCAUUUACUUUUUUUUUUACCAGCCUUUCUGGAAAGAGAUUUAGAUUACCAUCGCUCAGUUUCAAAAAAAAAAGAGAAUAGAUUUAGAUUACCAUCACUGUGGAACUUCUGAAAUCAACAGCUCCAUCUGCCAAUGCCAAAAGCCAAAAGUAAAUAAAAAAAAAAGGAUUCUGCAUUAAGUACAUGCAUUUGUACAAUCUUGAUUUGGUUGACGGAAAUUGGAUCCUCCGCAUACAUGAAAAGCAUCCACUGAAUCAGUGACGUAGCCGGAAUAAGCUAAGCACAUACUCACAUGUCCGCUACCUAAACUUGGAACUGUUGGGAAAUUAUUGAUCAAAAGCACCAUAUUGGCCAAGUUAAUGGUGUAUUCUCAUUCCUGAUUAGAGGUACCAGAUGGGCAAAUUAAUUGGUAGGUGAGCACUUUUAACACUUGUUAUUAUAUAUAUUAGUCAAUGUCUUAGAAGGUAUUAAUGUCCCUGAAACACUUUCAAUGCCUUUUGAGGAAGUUUGAUAAUCAGUAGCUAUUUAAUUUGAGAAAGAAUAUUUUAAUACAAUUAAUUUAAAGACAAUUUAAGAUUUUUAUUUUUUUUAACUUUAUUAUUUUUAUUCUUAUUAACACAUAAAGAAACCUACAAUCAAUUGGAAAACAAAAAAUUUGACACGUUAGAUAUAUCUUUUAAUUUAUUUAAUUAUAAUUAUCAUAUGUUGUUAUUUGUCUUAAAUCUUUGUUAUUCUUUCAUUAAUAAUUUGUUCUUAAAAAUAUUACAUAUGUUAUUAAAAUUUGGUUCAACAAUUAGAUACAACGUUCUCAUAUUUUUUAAAUAUUAACUGUGCAUUGGAAUUCAACCCUACCAAAUCCUAAUUGAAGAAUGAAUUGGUCAAAGCAAUAAAUAUAGAGAGAAGAGGAAGCUCCAAAUGACCCAAAAGAAUAGGUUUGUACCCCUAACAUUCAAACGUAUUGUUUUAUAAUGUAUCGUAUUACAUAUUUAUAUUAUUUUGAUGAGUAUAACUGUUGGAUAGAACAAUAAUUCGAAGAAUAAAUCUAUUAGAAAAAUGAAUUAAACCUAAGCUACUAUGAUUUUCUUUUUUUGAAUUUGCAAGGGAAAGCUGUCAAAGACAGGAAAGCUGAUGGAUGUUGAUAAUCAUCAGAUGAGGUGUACGGAGAGAUACAGUUGCUAGAGCCAAUGAUGGAAAAUGUCAAAGGUUUCACCAACCAUGGAGUUUCAAUAUUAGGAGGAAUGCUUUGCUUUUAUUACACUCAUGCUCCUUCUAACUCGAGAGAGACUACUCUUAAGUUAUGGGUAAUGAAGGAUUACAGUGUCAAAGGAGUCUUGGAUACCAUUAUAUAUACUAUACAAGAUAACGUUUUGCAUUUACUUAGACCGAUAUAUAUGUUUGCAGAUGGUGAAGUGCUACUCAACUACAGAUGUAUAGACCAAGUAGGGUUUAACUUCCCGUUUAGGACAUCCAAAGGACCACUAAAAUUAUGGCACAAAUAUAAUAUCCUAAAGCAAGGAAUUAUUUAUACGAUCUCUCCAAAAUCACUUAUUAGCGCUUGCUUAUGUAUGAUAGACAUUUUUUAAUUUUAUCGGUUUUCGAGUAUAUCAUGUAACAAACUCUUAAUUUUGAUAAGUUUAUCUAUUGCACACUAAUUUUUGU